rnacentral:lncRNA from 1 species
UAAUCUACAAAAUUUUCUACAAAUAGUAAAUAGCGCCAGGGUACACUUUAUUAGUUCGGAGGUUAAUAAAGUGGCAAAUUGAAAUACUAGAAUCUGAUACUUCUAGUUUAAACUUUACACUUGCGCUUUCUUGUACAUGAUAUUGGCCCCAUCCCCCAUUCACCAAUUGGAGAAUUGAAAAAAAAGAAAAAUCGAUUAUGUAAAGAAUAAAUAAUCUCUUCAUAAUCCGAGUCUUAAAAAAGGGAAACAUGCAAAACAGACGUGGAUCGAUCAUUGCAACUUCAAU